rnacentral:rRNA from 1 species
AUUGAACGCUGGCGGAAUGCUUUACACAUGCAAGUCGAGCGGCAGCACGGGAGCUUGCUCCUGGUGGCGAGUGGCGAACGGGUGAGUAAUGCAUCGGAACGUACCCAGUUAUGGGGGAUAACUAACCGAAAGGUUAGCUAAUACCGCAUACGCCCUGAGGGGGAAAGCGGGGGACCGUAAGGCCUCGCGUAAUUGGAGCG